GACGAACGCUGGCGGCGUGCUUAACACAUGCAAGUCGAACGCUAAAGCCUCUUUCGGGGGGUGCUCGUGUGGCGCACGGGUGUGUAACACACGUGUAACACCCCCCUUUCACUGUGAUAUCUUCACGAAAAUGUGGCUCUUACCGGGUAUGCUCUCCUUCUGCACAUUGUGGGUUGUGAAGUUUCGGCGGUUGGGGAUGGUCUCGCGGCUUAUCAGCUUGUUGGUGGGGUAGUGGCUUACCAAGGCGUUGACGGGUAGCCGGCCUGAGAGGGUGACCGGCCACAUUGGGACUGAGAUACGGCCCAGACUCCUACGGGAGGCAGCAGUGGGGAAUAUUGCACAAUGGGUGGAAGCCUGAUGCAGCAACGCCGUGUGCGGGAUGACGGCCUUCGGGUUGGAAACCGCUUUCGGUCAGGAAGAAGCUAUGAGUGACGGUAGCGGGUAAAGAAGCACCGGCUAACUACGUG
rnacentral:rRNA from 1 species